rnacentral:rRNA from 1 species
UUUUAGGUCUGGUAAUUGGAAUGAGUACAAUUUAAAUCACUUAANGAGGAUCCNUUGGAGGGCAAGUCUGGUGCCAGCAGCCGCGGAUAAUUCCAGCUCCAAUAGCGUAUAUUAAAGUUGCUGCAGUUAAAAAGCUCGUANUUGGAUUUCUGGUGUGGUGCGCCUGGUCCGCCCCGUUUAGGUGUGCGAGUACCGGUGCGCGCCUACCAUCCUUCUGGAGAGCGGCUCUACCCUUCACUGGGCCGGANUCGUUAUCUAGAUCGUUUACUUUGAAAAAAUUAGAGUGUUUCAAGCAGGCAUACUCNCUUUGAAUACAUUAGCAUGGAAUAAUAAGAUAGGACUUUGGUCUUAUUUUGUUGGUUUCUAGGGCCGAAGUAAUGAUUGAUAGGGACAGUUGGGGGUGCUAGUAUUCCAUGGCCAGAGGUGAAAUUCUUGGAUUCAUGGAAGACUAACUAAUGCGAAAGCAUUCACCAAGGAUGUCUUCUUUAAUCAAGAACGAAAGUUGGGGGAUCGAAAAGGAUCAGAUACCCUUGUAGUCUCAACCAUAAACGAUGCCGACUCGGGAUGAGUGGACGUUGCAAUUCGACUCCAUUCGCACCGUANGAGAAAUCAAAGUUUUUGGGUUCCGGGGGGAGUAUGGUCGCAAGGCUGAAACUU